AUUGAACGCUGGCGGCAGGCCUAACACAUGCAAGUCGAGCGGAUCGCCGGACGCGUGCGUAAUGCCUAGGUAUCUGCCUCUUCCUGGUGGAUAACGUCCGGUACCGGGCGCUAAUACCACUUCCUCUCACAUUCGGCUAGGUCGGAUUAGCUAGUUGGUGGGGUAAAGGCCUACCAAGGCGACGAUCCCUAGCUGGUCUGAGAGGAUGAUCAGUCACACUGGAACUGAGACACGGUCCAGACUCCUACGGGAGGCAGCAGUGGGGAAUAUUGGACAAUGGGCGAAAGCCUGAUCCAGCCAUGCCGCGUGUGUGAAGAAGGUCUUCGGAUUGUAAAGCACUUUAAGUUGGGAGGCGUUACCAGCAGAAUAAGCACCGGCUAACUCCGUGCCAGCAGCCGCGGUAAUAC
rnacentral:rRNA from 1 species